CAGGGAGGGGAAGGAGGAGUGAGAGGUAUGGCUCAAUUUCAGGACUGGGAACUCUGACUGUUAGGAGAGAUAGGGACAUCAACAGGGUGUGUGGGCUGAACUGUCCCCCAGAUUCACAUGUUGAAGUCCUAACCCCUAGCACCUCAGGACAUGCCUGUAUUUGGAGAUGGGAUCUUUAGAGAGGCAGUUAGGUCAAACUGAGUUCAUAUGGAUGGGCCCUAAUCCAACAUGACUGGUGUCCUUAUCAGAAAAGGUUAGGGCACAGAAGAAUGAUCACGUGAGGAAACAGGGAGAAGGAACCAGCCCGUCAACACCUUGAUCUCGGCCUGCCGGCCUCCAGUGUCUGUGCUGCUUUAUUUUGGUGAACCAGGGCCACUAACACAGGGGAGGAGUGCAAUGUGGGCAGCCCUCCCCAGGAUGGGUGCCUUGUCCAGAGUCCCCUGGAGCUGGAGGGAGGCGGCUUGCAUCCUGCUGUUGCUCUGGUCAGGCAGAAGGCCUCGGAACUGGGAAUCUGGCUGGUGGUGGUGACCGGCAUCGCCUUUGUUGUUGGGGACACGAUCAGGCGUGUUUGUAUAGGACCAUGUGUACGGGACACGGAGCUAACACGGUGCCCUGAGGUCUCUGGGAGGAAGCAUGGAAAUUAAGCCACAGUGUAAAAAUGUCAGGUUCUAAGAGGCCUACGAUCCACCUGAAGUUUUCUUUCCUCUGUUAUUUAUUCUUCUGCCUCUUUCUGGGUGACUCCCAAGCCACGUCAUUAACACAUGCCCUGACCUGUAGGAUGUAUGUGCCAUCACAUAUUUGCCAGAAGCCAUGUGACAGCAGCCAGCACCCCAUGGGGACUGCAGCCUUUCCUGCCUAUGUGAGCUUUCAGUGACUGGGGAGGGGGUGGGCUGCCUUUGGUUUCUAGAGGACAUCGAUCGGGUCAUGUCCCAGUGAAACUGAUGUCAUUUCAGCCACCCCAACAACUGUCAACUCAGUUCACAGACUAAAAGAAAAUUUAAAAAUUUGAGGUGAUGGACAUGAACUAAAUUAUUUGGCAGUUACUACAAUACAUACAUAUAUCAGAUCAUUAUGUAGUACACAUUAAACUAAUAUAAUGUUAUAUCAAUUUUGUGUUAACAGAACUGGAAGAAAAAAGUUUAUGGAAAUAGUAAAGGUCUGAAUUUUCCAUUAAGGCACUCCGUAGAUUCCAAACUUUAAUGAUAAAAGCCAUCCAAAGUGAUUCAGUGAAGUGUUCUUUCUAACUAUGUUAGUUACUUAGAUUAUUUAAUAGCGGUACCCUGAAAAUGUACAUGUGGGAGGGCACUGUAUUCAGUUACUCACGGGUCUGGACCAGGCUUUCUUAUCAUGCUUUCAACCCAGGGAUGAUGCAGACCGAAGGUGAAAAGUUGGAUUGAGGGCGCACUCGAAUUCAGCGCAACUUCGUCUUAACCAUUCAAUAAUGUGUCAAGAUGGCAGAAUCAACAUAGAUGACCAUUUGGAUUCAAUUUAACAGAAAUGCAAUUAUUGAAUAGUUAAGAUGAAGUUGUGCUGAAUUUGAGUGUGCCCUCAAUCCGAUGACUGAGAUCCUUAUAAGAAAGGGAAGAGGAUGCAGAGACAAACCCACAUGGAGACAAAGGCAGAGACUGGAGCAAUGCUGCCACAAGCCAAGGACGCCAAGCACCAUCGGCCGCGCCCAGAAGCCAGAAGGGAGGCCUGGCGUGAUUUCUCCCUGGAGCCUUUGAGACAGCAGGCUGAUACCUUGGUUUCCACCUUUUCACCUUCAGUGCUGUGAGAGAAUACAUCUCUGUUGUUUUGCA